ACUACAAUAAAUAAGUGAAGCAUGGGAUAAAGUUUAAAGACAAGCAAUAACAACUUGAGUGUCUCCAAAGAUGAAGCAGGUUCUUUUCGUACUAAGCAUUCUCUUGGCUACCAUUAUCUUCUUUCCCAAUUUUAUCCUAGCUCGACAACUAACUGCAGAGGAUAGAAAUUUCCACAACGUUCCUGCAUCUCCGGCAAUGAAUCCACAUCGGAAAUGCGGCCUAGGCGACAAGAAUUCACCGUGCCACCCAAACAAGAAUUCACGGCAAAGCCCGCCAAAGCCUGUGUGUCGCCCAUAUUCGCGCAAUUGCCGACCUUGAUCAGGCUUUUCAUGACUUGAUCAAUCAGAAGCAUCCACUUAGAGACUUUUCUUCAGGCUUAAAUUAAUAAAAUUCUCUGGCUACUAUGAGAUGUACAAUACGUUGAGCGUGCAUGUACAUGUUGUGUCUGUUUGCUUGGUAUAUUUUAAUCAUGUGAACAAAUGGCUGAGAAAUAUUAAUAGGGUAAUAUGGUUUGCUGUGAUAUAUGUGAGAACUGACGUACCAUGUACUUCUAAUACCCUUCAAGUCAGUAAAGAAGAGCUUCAUGACAUCUA